rnacentral:rRNA from 1 species
CGCAAGGUUGAAACUCAAAGGAAUUGACGGGGGCCCGCACAAGCGGUGGAGCAUGUGGUUCAAUUCGACGCAACGCGAAGAACCUUACCAGGGCUUGACAUCCCACGAACCUUCCCGAAAGGGUUGGGUGCCCGCAAGGGAGCGUGGAGACAGGUGGUGCAUGGCUGUCGUCAGCUCGUGUCGUGAGAUGUUGGGUUAAGUCCCGCAACGAGCGCAACCCUCACCCCUUGUUGCCACCGGGUAAAGCCGAGCACUCUAGGGGAACUGCUAGCGUCAAGCUGGAGGAAGGCGGGGAUGACGUCAAGUCAUCAUGCCCCUUACGCCCUGGGCCACACACGUGCUACAAUGGGGCCGACAAAGAGACGCAAAGCCGCGAGGUAGAGCAAAACUCAAAAACGGCCUCUAAGUUCAGAUUGCAGUCUGCAACUCGACUGCAUGAAGGAGGAAUCGCUAGUAAUCGCGCAUCAGCACGGCGCGGUGAAUACGUUCCCGGGCCUUGUACACACCGCCCGUCACACCACGAAAGCCGGCUGUACUCGAAGUCGCUGAGCCAACCCGCAAGGGAGGCAGGCGCCCAAGGUAUGGUCGGUGAUUGGGGUG